rnacentral:rRNA from 1 species
GUCCUUGCCGUAAACGAUGUAUACUUGAUGUAGUUAGGCUCAACCCUGACUGUGUCGAAGCUAACGCGAUAAGUAUACCGCCUGGGGAGUACGCUCGCAAGGGUGAAACUCAAAAGAAUUGACGGGGGCCCGCACAAGCAGUGGAGCAUGUGGUUUAAUUCGAUGCAACGCGAAGAACCUUACCCAGGCUCGAAAUAUAAUAGACGAUAUCAGAGAUGAUAUUUUCCGCAAGGACUGUUACAUAGGUGCUGCAUGGCUGUCGU